UAACUGGACUUGUGAAUUUGAAGCAGAAUUCAACAUGCAUUGGAUUGUUCACCCACUAAUAGGGAACAUGAGCUGGGAUUAGACCGCUGUGAGACAGGUU
rnacentral:ncRNA from 1 species